GAUGAACGCUGGCGGCGUGCCUAAUACAUGCAAGUCGAGCGAACAGAUAAGGAGCUUGCUCCUUUGAAGUUAGCGGCGGACGGGUGAGUAACACGUGGGUAACCUACCUAUAAGACUGGGAUAACUUCGGGAAACCGGAGCUAAUACCGGAUAACAUUUAGAACCGCAUGGCUCUAAAGUGAAAGAUGGUUUUGCUAUCACUUAUAGAUGGACCCGCGCCGUAUUAGCUAGUUGGUAAGGUAACGGCUUACCAAGGCGACGAUACGUAGCCGACCUGAGAGGGUGAUCGGCCACACUGGAACUGAGACACGGUCCAGACUCCUACGAGAGGCAGCAGUAGGGAAUCUUCCGCAAUGGGCGAAAGCCUGACGGAGCAACGCCGCGUGAGUGAUGAAGGGUUUCGGCUCGUAAAACUCUGUUAUUAGGGAAGAACAAAUGUGUAAGUAACUGUGCACAUCUUGACGGUACCUAAUCAGAAAGCCACGGCUAACUACGUGCCAGCAGCCGCGGUAAUACGUAGGUGGCAAGCGUUAUCCGGAAUUAUUGGGCGUAAAGCGCGCGUAGGCGGUUUCUUAAGUCUGAUGUGAAAGCCCACGGCUCAACCGUGGAGGGUCAUUGGAAACUGGGAAACUUGAGUGCAGAAGAGGAAAGUGGAAUUCCAUGUGUAGCGGUGAAAUGCGCAGAGAUAUGGAGGAACACCAGUGGCGAAGGCGACUUUCUGGUCUGUAACUGACGCUGAUGUGCGAAAGCGUGGGGAUCAAACAGGAUUAGAUACCCUGGUAGUCCACGCCGUAAACGAUGAGUGCUAAGUGUUAGGGGGUUUCCGCCCCUUAGUGCUGCAGCUAACGCACUAAGCACUCCGCCUGGGGAGUACGACCGCAAGGUUGAAACUCAAAGGAAUUGACGGGGACCCGCACAAGCGGUGGAGCAUGUGGUUUAAUUCGAAGCAACGCGAAGAACCUUACCAAAUCUUGACAUCCUUUGAAAACUCUAGAGAUAGAGCCUUCCCCUUCGGGGGACAAAGUGACAGGUGGUGCAUGGUUGUCGUCAGCUCGUGUCGUGAGAUGUUGGGUUAAGUCCCGCAACGAGCGCAACCCUUAAGCUUAGUUGCCAUCAUUAAGUUGGGCACUCUAGGUUGACUGCCGGUGACAAACCGGAGGAAGGUGGGGAUGACGUCAAAUCAUCAUGCCCCUUAUGAUUUGGGCUACACACGUGCUACAAUGGACAAUACAAAGGGCAGCUAAACCGCGAGGUCAUGCAAAUCCCAUAAAGUUGUUCUCAGUUCGGAUUGUAGUCUGCAACUCGACUACAUGAAGCUGGAAUCGCUAGUAAUCGUAGAUCAGCAUGCUACGGUGAAUACGUUCCCGGGUCU
rnacentral:rRNA from 1 species